rnacentral:rRNA from 1 species
GACGAACGCUGGCGGCGUGCUUAACACAUGCAAGUCGAACGGGGUUAAAUGGGAGCUUGCUUCUGUUUAACCUAGUGGCGGACGGGUGCGUAACGCGUGAACAAUCUGUCUCUGCGAGGGGGAUAACACUUAGAAAUAGGUGCUAAUACCGCAUAGGACCACGGCAUCGCAUGGUGCUGAGGUGAAAGGGCUUCGGUCUGCGCAGAGGUGAGUUCGCGUCCCAUUAGCUAGUUGGUGAGGUAACGGCCCACCAAGGCGACGAUGGGUAGCCGAUCUGAGAGGAUGACCGGCCACACUGGAACUGAGAAACGGUCCAGACUCCUACGGGAGGCAGCAGUGGGGAAUAUUGGGCAAUGGGCGAAAGCCUGACCCAGCAACGCCGCGUGAGGGAAGAAGGUUUUCGGAUCGUAAACCUCUGUCGCAAGGGAAGAAAGAAAUGACGGUACCUUGCAAGGAAGCUCCGGCUAACUACGUGCCAGCAGCCGCAGUAAUAC